AAUAAUGGUCAAUGGGUGAAAGCCUGACCCAGCCAUGCCGCGUGUGUGCAUUAGGUCUUCGGUUUGUAAAGCACUUCUUGUAGGGAGGUAGGGCAGUAAGUUAAUACCUAGCUGUUCUGUCAUUACCGACUGAAUAAGUAUCGGCCAACUUCGUGCUAGCAUCCGCGCUAAUACGAAGGGUGCAAUCGUUAAUCGGAAUUACUGGGCGUAAAGCGCGCGUAUGUGGUUUGUUAAGUUGGAAAGGUAAGCCCCGGGCUCGAACUGGGAACUGCUUUCAAAACUGGCAAGCUAGAGUAUGGCAGAGGGUGGUGGAGUUUCCUGUGUAGCGGUGGAAUACGUGGAUAUAGGAAGGAACACCAGUGGCGAAAGCGACCACCUGAGAUAAUACUGACGCUCAGACACGAAAGCGUGCGGAGCAAACA
rnacentral:rRNA from 1 species